ACGCACCAGAUACGAGCCUGACAGCCCACUCUGUCCCACGUGUGUUUUGCACACUGGGAUGUUCUUUGGCUGCCUGGCUUCAAACGGUGCAAGAGCAGAAUAAGCCCUGACAUUUAAGCUUUUCAGUGGGGAAGCAAUACUGUAAAGUUAUGGCUCAGAGGCACAAAG